AGUGAACGCUGGCGGUAGGCCUAACACAUGCAAGUCGAACGGCAGCACAGUAAGAGCUUGCUCUUACGGGUGGCGAGUGGCGGACGGGUGAGGAAUACAUCGGAAUCUACUUUUUCGUGGGGGAUAACGUAGGGAAACUUACGCUAAUACCGCAUACGACCUACGGGUGAAAGCAGGGGAUCUUCGGACCUUGCGCGAUUGAAUGAGCCGAUGUCGGAUUAGCUAGUUGGCGGGGUAAAGGCCAACCAAGGCGACGAUCCGUAGCUGGUCUGAGAGGAUGAUCAGCCACACUGGAACUGAGAAACGGUCCAGACUCCUACGGGAGGCAGCAGUGGGGAAUAUUGGACAAUGGGCGCAAGCCUGAUCCAGCCAUACCGCGUGGGUGAAGAAGGCCUUCGGGUUGUAAAGCCCUUUUGUUGGGAAAGAAAAGCAGCAGGUUAAUACCCCGCUGUUCUGACGGGACCCAAAGAAUAAGCACCGGCUAACUUCGU
rnacentral:rRNA from 1 species